rnacentral:sRNA from 1 species
GAGUCUAGAAAACUUACGGCAUUUACAAC